rnacentral:rRNA from 1 species
GAGGCGAACCGGGAGAACUGAAACAUCUAAGUACCCCGAGGAAAAGAAAUCAAUUGAGAUUCCGAAAGUAGCGGCGAGCGAAAUUGGAUUAGCCCUUAAGCUUUUAAUGACACAGGUGAAGAGUCUGGAAAGUCUCGCGAUACAGGGUGAUAGCCCCGUAACCGACAUGUCAUUUUGAGUGAAAACGAGUAAGGCGGGACACGUGAUAUCCUGUUUGAAUAUGGGGGGACCAUCCUCCAAGGCUAAAUACUCCUGACUGACCGAUAGUGAACCAGUACCGUGAGGGAAAGGCGAAAAGAACCCCUGUGAGGGGAGUGAAAUAGAACCUGAAACCGUGUACGUACAAGCAGUAGGAGCAGGCUUUGUCCUGUGACUGCGUACCUUUUGUAUAAUGGGUCAGCGACUUAUAUUCAGUGGCAAGGUUAACCGUAUAGGGGAGCCGUAGGGAAACCGAGUCUUAACUGGGCGCUUCAGUCUCUGGAUAUAGACCCGAAACCGAGUGAUCUAGCCAUGGGCAGGUUGAAGAUUGAGUAACAUCAAUUGGAGGACCGAACCGACUAAUGUUGAAAAAUUAGCGGAUGACUUGUGGCUAGGGGUGAAAGGCCAAUCAAACUCGGAGAUAGCUGGUUCUCCCCGAAAGCUAUUUAGGUAGCGCCUCGGACGAAUACUACUGGGGGUAGAGCACUGUUAAGGCUAGGGGGUCAUCCCGACUUACCAACCCUUUGCAAACUCCGAAUACCAGUAAGUACUAUCCGGGAGACACACGGCGGGUGCUAACGUCCGUCGUGGAGAGGGAAACAACCCAGACCGCCAGCUAAGGUCCCAAAUUACUACUAAGUGGGAAACGAUGUGGGAAGGCUCAGACAGCUAGGAUGUUGGCUUAGAAGCAGCCAUCAUUUAAAGAAAGCGUAAUAGCUCACUAGUCGAGUCGGCCUGCGCGGAAGAUGUAACGGGGCUAAGUAGUAAACCGAAGCUGCGGCAAUGCGAUUUAUCGCAUUGGGUAGGGGAGCGUUCUGUAAGCCGUUGAAGGUGUGUUGUAAAGCAUGCUGGAGGUAUCAGAAGUGCGAAUGCUGACAUGAGUAACGAUAAAGGGGGUGAAAAACCUCCUCGCCGGAAGACCAAGGGUUCCUGUCCAACGUUAAUCGGGGCAGGGUGAGUCGACCCCUAAGGCGAGGCCGAAAGGCGUAGUCGAUGGGAAACGGGUUAAUAUUCCCGUACUUCUUACAAUUGCGAUGGGGGGACGGAGAAGGCUAGGUGGGCCUGGCGACGGUUGUCCAGGUUCAAGUGCGUAGGCUUGAGAGUUAGGUAAAUCCGGCUCUCUUUAAGGCUGAGACACGAUGUCGAGCUACUACGGUAGUGAAGUCAUUGAUGCCAUGCUUCCAGGAAAAGCCUCUAAGCUUCAGAUUGUAAGGAAUCGUACCCCAAACCGACACAGGUGGUCGGGUAGAGAAUACCAAGGCGCUUGAGAGAACUCGGGUGAAGGAACUAGGCAAAAUGGUACCGUAACUUCGGGAGAAGGUACGCUCUUGACGGUGAAGUCCCUCGCGGAUGGAGCUGAUGAGAGUCGCAGAUACCAGGUGGCUGCAACUGUUUAUUAAAAACACAGCACUGUGCAAAAUCGUAAGAUGACGUAUACGGUGUGACGCCUGCCCGGUGCCGGAAGGUUAAUUGAUGGGGUUAGUUUUCGGACGAAGCUCUUGAUCGAAGCCCCGGUAAACGGCGGCCGUAACUAUAACGGUCCUAAGGUAGCGAA